GGAAGGGCAAACCGAAUGGCGACGGGACCCGGUUGGAAGCCGGCCGAGCUUGCAUGACAAGCCUUGAGGGUUCGACUCCCUCUCCUUCCG
rnacentral:tRNA from 1 species